UACACACACACACUCACACUCACACACACACACACACAUACAUAUACAAACAUACACACACACGCAUACACACUAUUUUGCCUCUUCAGUAAAGCGGUUACUGUGCAGCAUUACACUGCAGAAUCUCUCGCCACUUUAUUUUGCUGGGUCACAUGACUGGUGUGGUGAAGAAGCUUGCGCUCAUGGCUGAGCUCCUGCUGUCUGUGUGUCCUGUACUGAGAGACUGUAGGAUGAGACUGUAGGAGUGAGACUGUAGGGAUGAGACUGUAGGAGUGAGACUGAAUGAGACUGUGGGGAUGAGACUGUAGAGAUGGGACUGAAUGAGACAAUAGGAAUGAGACUGAAUGAGACUAGGGAUGAGACUGUAGGUAUGAGACUGGAUGAGACUGUAAGGAUGAGAUUGUAGGGAGGAGACUGAAUGAGACUGUAGAGAUGAGACUGUAGGGAGGAGACUGAAUGAGACUGUAGGGAUGAGACUAGAGAUGAGACUGAAUGAGACUGUAGGGAUGAGACUGGGUGAGACUGUGGGGAUGAGACUGAAUGAGACUGUAGGGGUGAGACUGAAUGAGACUGUAGGAAUGAGACUGUAGGGGUGAGACUGUAGGGGUGAGACUGUAGGAGUGAGACUGUAGGAGUGAGACUGAAUGAGACUAGGAGUGAGACUGAAUGAGACUGUUGGAAUGAGACUGAAUGAGACUGUAGGGGUGAGACUGUAGGAGUGAGACUGAAUGAGACUGUAGGAGUGAGACUGAAUGAGACUGUAGGGGUGAGACUGUAGGAGUGAGACUGAAUGAGACUGUAGGAGUGAGACUGAAUGAGACUGUAGGAGUGAGACUGAAUGAGACUGUAGGAGUGAGCCUGAAUGAGACUGUAGGAAUGAGACUGAAUGAGACUGUAGGGGUGAGACUGAAUGAGACUGUAGGAAUGAGACUGAAUGAGACUGUAGGGGUGAGACUGAAUGAGACUGUGGGGAUGAGACUGAAUGAGACUGUGGGGAUGAGACUGUGGGGAUGAGACUGAAUGAGACUGUAGGGGUGAGACUGAAUGAGACUGUAGGAAUGAGACUGUAGGGGUGAGACUGUAGGAGUGAGACUAGGAGUGAGACUGAAUGAGACUGUUGGAAUGAGACUGAAUGAGACUGUAGGGGUGAGACUGUAGGAGUGAGACUGAAUGAGACUGUAGGAGUGAGACUGAAUGAGACUGUAGGGGUGAGACUGUAUGAGUGAGACUGAAUGAGACUGUAGGAGUGAGACUGAAUGAGACUGUAGGAGUGAGACUGAAUGAGACUGUAGGAGUGAGACUGAAUGAGACUGUAGGAAUGAGACUGAAUGAGACUGUAGGGGUGAGACUGAAUGAGACUGUAGGAAUGAGACUGAAUGAGACUGUAGGGGUGAGACUGAAUGAGACUGUAGGAAUGAGACUGAAUGAGACUGUAGGGGUGAGACUGUAGGAGUGAGACUGAAUGAGACUGUAGGAAUGAGACUGAAUGAGACUGUAGGGGUGAGACUGUAGGAGUGAGACUGAAUGAGACUGUAGGGGUGAGACUGUAGGAGUGAGACUGAAUGAGACUGUAGGAGUGAGGCUGCUCGGGGUUGCACAAACUGAAGCUCCUGUCCAACAUCCUGUCCAGUAUCACUUUGGGGCUUUUCCAGCUUAUUUUAUGAUUUGUGUUUUGUUGACUUGUUUGCUUUUCCUUUUGUUUGGUAACUCAGUGGCUUUCAGUUGAUCAGUGAGAGUAAGUUGAAGCUGGAGCUGUUCCUGUGUCUGUCUGUCUGGUGUGUGUCUGUCUGUCAGGUGUGUGUCUGUGUCUGUCUGUGUCAGGUGUGUG